UUUAUCCUAUUUCAUGACUCACCAUGUCUCAUAAACUCUAUAAAUAGCCAUUAAAAUUCUGUAAUUUUCAAGCUCAAAAAUCCAUCUUAACUCCUUAUUUCUUCUCCUCUUUUUCGUGGGUAUUGGCAUCCAUGGCCAGUCAAUUGGAGCUCUAAUUUCGCCCAACAAUACCCAUAAAGAACAUCAAUUUAACCCAGAAAUUUAUAAACCCAAAUCAUCUUAUCAUUUACAACCCAUUUUCUCUCUCCUCUGUUUCGACCACCGCGGCCCCGCCGCCCAGCCACCACCAUUUGCCGGCGAACCUUUCUUGCCGCCACCCAGCAACCCUUCUCGACCUCCCUGUUGUGUGCCGUCGAGAUAAUGAAGCUGCUAUGGAUUCCUCUUAUUUUUCCGUUUUUUCUUUGUUACUGCUUAUGCCUCUUUUAUGUCAAACCAACCAAGGAAAAGAAGCUGCUACUUAUUACUUGGAUUAAAAUUGGAAGUGGGCCAAAGGAUAAAGUAGGAGUUACUUCUUCAUUUUUUUGUGGGCUUUGACCAAAUUAAGAGGAAAGCUACAAAUAAGUGGAAAUAAGGUGAACAGAACAGGGCCUAAGAGCCUAUGGAUGUAGAUUAUUGAUGGCAAAUACGGUGGUUAAAUGAUGAGUUACAGAGGUAAUACUUAUGUCCAACAAUUAUAUUUAUGUGCCCGUACAUAAAAGUAUUAUGUUUUUGUAAUUUUCAUGUCCAACCUUUAAGUUUAUAUGUCGGUAUAUGAAAUGUGGGACUAUUAUGUGAUUAUAUGUUUAUUAUGUGUUUUAUGUGAUAAAUGAUAUGAUAUAUGUUUAAGAUUAUGAUCAUGUUAUUAUGAUGUUAAAGACCUUGUUCGGAAAUAAUUAUAAUAUUUAUAAAGUUAUUUUAAAAAGAAAGACGAUGUUGCUUUUGUCGGCUUGGAAAAGUGAAUUGAACUAGUAAAUGGGCAAGUUACAGGUAGAGGCCAUGUUAAAGUUAAAGUUUGGGAAACAGUUCCCCCUGAAAAGAUGUAUGAAAAGUCCCGCCAAAGCGUGUACUUGCCAAUGAGCUGUAAAGGAAAUGAUUCCUUGCCGACACAGUUUUCAAGAUAACGAGAUUAAGUUAGUUGUUUCCGAACAAUAAAUGCUAAUGAUGAAAUAUGUGCCAAAUGAUUUUCAAAAUAAAACCGUUUUGACGGGCUGGAGUAAUAUUACUGAGUUUUCCACUCAUUUUUGUAUUUUCUGUGUUUUUCCUGUUCUCUAUUUUUAUGAUGAUGCACAAGUUCGAUUAAGGAGCUCAAGUUGCUCAAACGAGAGUUAUUACUGGAGUUGGUUAUUUAUUAUGGAGAUAUCGAGAUGAGAAAUUAUUUAUUAUGGAAAUCAUGUUAUUGAGGUUGUUAUAAGAAUAUUGAUUUAUAUUUAUUUUAUGGGAAAGUUGUAUUAUUUAUGGAAUGUUAUUAAGGAUUAUUUUAUUUGUGGGCCCAUACCCACAAGUCCCAAGGUUAAUUAAGCCUAAUUCCGCUGCAAGUGAUCAGUUAAGUGCGGUUUAUUACCGCUAAUUAAGGUGCCGAAAAGUCGGGGCGUUACAAAAUUAAACCUUCUUGAACUUAUUUUAUCUGUUUUUUUAAUUAUACGGAAUAUGAACUUGUUUUUUGAGAAUAUUAUAUGAACUUAUUGGAUAUAAUUUGUUUUUUAAUGUCAUUGUUAUUUUAUGGAGUAGUUGAUCACUUGGAAAACAAUAGUUUUUUUUUUGGGUUUAUUGUUACUUAUUUUUAAUUUUGUUGUUGUUGUUAGUGGGAAUCUAGGGGUUUCGGAAUGAUUGAGGCGUUACUGCGUUAGGGUUUAUACAAAGCCCUAAUUUAUGCUAUAUAUAAAUCGCGCCGUUGUUCUCUAUCUUCCACAACCCAUCUCAUCUUCCUCAAUCUCACUUCGUCUACCUCCUCAAAUAUCGUUCAUUUACUUUCUCUCUCCUCACCUUUUAUCAAUUUUAUUCCACGGUUAUCUAUCAAUGUCGUUGCUUAUUGCGAAAAUUUCCUCUUACUUUUUUUUUUUAAUACUAAUUGUUAUCAGUAAAAUCAGAAAUUUCAGAGGUUUAUUAUGUAUAAUCUCAAAUCAAACCCAAUUUUGAGGUUCAGGUAUUUCUUAUUUAUGAAAUUAAUCAGUUUUUUUUCAUGGUUUUGAGUAAAUAAGUUGUGAUUUCAGAUUUGGGGAAAAAAUAGGCACAUUUCAGACACGGGUGUUAGUUCAAAUCCAAUAAUUAGCUACCUUUUGCACGGUGCCUAUAAAUCUGCUACUCAUCACGAUUGGAGGGAAUUUUAUAUCCUCUAUAAUUCCCCUUCAAAUUUAAAUUAGCUAUAUUUUACUUUCACUUUUUCAUUCGUUUGCUAUUGAAAACUCAAUUAUUUCUUCAUGAAUUGCUAUGAAUUUACCAGAUUACUAGACUAUUUGUUGUACGGCUCCAUUACAGAGUCAGCAGCAUAUGCCAAAUUGAUGGUAAAUUGACUGCCGCUUGGAGCCAAUAGUAAAUCUAGUCAGAUUGUUGUGAUUUGCUUGAAUAACUCACUGUUGAUUCGUGCUUCAAUUAUCUGUCUAAAUCCCUCAUCAUUAGUUGAUUUAUGCGAAUAAUUUUAGGGGUUUUUUAAAUUUUAGGUUGUUAGAAGUAGCAUUGCCUCCAAAGAGUAGCCUUAUGAAUGGAUCAAGGUUUCAUAUUGGUUUAGUUAAGGGGCAUAAACCAAUUUGGAUCAAAUGUUAUAUUUGAUCCUUAUUUGCUAAGGCCUUCUUAUUAUGGGGACUGUUUUUAUGCUUUUGAUUGUCCUCUUAAGUAGUCUUGGACAUUUUAAUUCAGUUUCUGGGUUGUUUGUUAAUUAAUGGUUUGAAUUAGUUUAAAGAACAAGCCUUCGAAUAGCUGAAUGGUUAAUCUAGGAAUCAUUUGGUUCAGACAGAGGCUUAGAUUGAAACUGGGAUUACAUCCCUCGAACGAACCAGUUGGAUGGAUGAUGAGGGAUGUAUAAUUUUACCUAAAUCCUUCAAUUAGGAUGACUUCGGAUAUAUGCAUUAUAUUAUGUGGUAAGAGUUGGUUUGUGAUUCUAUUAUCGGUGAUGAGGCCUUAACAUAUAAGGAUGGUCCGACUAUGUGUCGGAUCUUCGAUGCAAUACUCUUGUUAACGCUUGGCUUCUGAGAUAAAACUUCAAAGCAAACAAACAACUGGUAAUUAUGUAUGAUUAUCAUCUUGAAAACUCAAAGAUUGUAUCUUUUUGUGUUUAUUUUAUGCCUGGGAGGAGAGGAUUAGUUGUAUCUGGUUAUGUAAAUAUCAGAUAUAUUUCUAAUCCCUUGACAUUGUUCUUGUCCCAAAAAUGAUAGCUGCAGGAUUUAAUGCUUGUGCACCAUUCAUUGUGGUUUCCAAGUUUGGCUUUUCUGUGACAUUUUUGUUCUGCUAAUUGUCUUUGUGGUUUAAUGUUAUGGAUCGUGUGUCUUUUUUUUGAAAGCUAAUGAUUUUUGAUGCAGGGUGCAACCGAAAGACUGUUAGUGUUCCAACAGAUUGUUGUUUUUAGUUUCUACAUUUACAGUCAAAAUGUAUUACAUUUACAGUAGUAGAAAGUUGUACCAAGAAAAUAGAAAUGAAAUGAUAAUUAUUUUUUAAACCUUUGCAAUA